rnacentral:rRNA from 1 species
ACCAGACUCCUACGGGAGGCAGCAGUGGGGAAUAUUGCACAAUGGGGGAAACCCUGAUGCAGCAACGCCGCGUGAGUGAAGAAGUCAUUCGUGAUGUAAAGCUCUAUCAGCAGGGAAGAAAAUGACGGUACCUGACUAAGAAGCCCCGGCUAACUCCGUGCCAGCAGCCGCGGUAAUACGGAGGAUGCGAGCGUUAUCCGGAUUUAUUGGGUUUAAAGGGUGCGCAGGCGGAAGAUCAAGUCAGCGGUAAAAUGGGGAGGCUCAACCUCUUCGAGCCGUUGAAACUGGUUUUCUUGAGUGAGCGAGAAGUAUGCGGAAUGCGUGGUGUAGCGGUGAAAUGCAUAGAUAUCACGCAGAACUCCGAUUGCGAAGGCAGCAUACCGGCGCUCAACUGACGCUCAUGCACGAAAGUGUGGGUAUCGAACAGGAUUAGAUACCCUCGUAUC